AUCAUUAACAAAUCCUGCUGCAGUGCCCUCCCGGGUGCUGUAGUAUAUUAACUCGGUCCAGGUCGCAAGGCUUGGGCUGAUAAAUUAAUGUGUGUAAUGUUGACAAUGUGUGUGUGAUUAAUUAGUAGACAACUUUUAACAAUGGAUCUCUAGGCUCUUGCAGCGAUGAAGAACGCAGUAAAGUGCGAAAAGUGAUGCGAUUUGCACGAAUCUGUGAGUCAUCUAGUUUUUGAACGCAAAUGGCACUCUUGUGUAAGCAGGAGUAUGUCUGUUUGAGAAUCCCAAAACCGACCAACACCUGUGGGGGUUGGCACUGGCGUUCCGUGCAGCAAUGUGCGGUUUGCUUGAAAUUAUUCAGGUUGAUGGGCUCCGGCUGAGCUCCAAAUGUGCUAAAAGACUGUGGUCUUUCGUCAUUUGGCUGCGCAGUUGCA
rnacentral:rRNA from 1 species